GACUGUACUCUUGGUGCAUGCUAGCAGUAGCAUUCUGCACGAAAAUGAAAAUAAUAAUUAUUACCUCCAGUUCUUUACCAUCCUAGCCAGGUCUAGGCGUCUUCGUGUUGAAUUCUUUUAAUCCUGUCCCAUUCCCUCCCGUGGAGCGGUGUUGGAUGCGAGUAAUCAGAUCUAACAGAAUGUCGAAGGGAAAUUUUGUCGUCCCUUCGUUUCCACUGAAAUUCAAAAAGCUUUAUUACGUCUCGGCGAUUCGAAGAUAGCACCGGAGCUAAAAGGACAGAAUCGAAGUGACGAUCUCUCUAUCAUGUGCUUAACAUGUGAAACAGCGCAACUCACUCGUCAAUGUGUCGUCAUGGCACACUGUGAACCCUCUACUGCUGCAAGCAGCAGCAAGCUACAUUCCGCAGUGCCGAAGGAAGCAGGGUGACAGAGCAUAGGAUAUGAUCUCUGUUGCCGCUUGUAUCUCUGGCCAGAGUGAAGCACUUGUAGGAAUUUUUGAAUGGGUCUGGAGAUGGCCACCGUUUUGGAAUGGAGCAAGAACACCAGGUCCUGCUCCCACAUCAUCAUCGUCAUCAACAGCAGCAAAAGCAACAACACGAGUGUGAGCUGUAGCCACCGCGGCCGCAGGAACAGCAGCAUCCGAGCAGCAACAGCAGUAGCGGCAGCCGCAGCCGCAGCAGCAGCAGCAGCAGGAACUGCACCGCAUUAGCCUCACUGGCAGUAGCAGGAGCAGGGACAGCAGGAUCAGCAGUAGUGGCAACUGCAAUAGCCGCACUAGCAGCAGCAGUAGUAGCAGCAGUAGUAGUGGCACUAGGAGGUGAACACAUUUUCAUGGAGCGUGUGUGCGUGUGUCGGGGGGGGGGGGUGAACAUGCAUACGAGUUCAAGGUGUGUGAACACAGUUCAUGGAGAGUGUGUACAAUCAUGGUGUGUGUAGGAUUGGGGAGAGUGAACAAAAAAAAACCCUGAAUAUGUACUCAGCUCACAUACCCGCGUACGUGUGUGGGUGAGGUGGGCUGCGAGUCACCAUGCCGUCCAUGUUUGGACCACAAGUGCGCGCUCACACUUCACAGGCCGCUGCAGGGUGAGCAGAAGUGUGGCCAGAAACCAUGGGAACUUCCCCAUCCUCGACCCUGCCGAUAUGGACAAAGCAUGGCCAGCUGGUACCACUCAGUAGAGAUUUCACGUGCAAUGAACUAACAAGUAACCGACAUUCAUUGGAUUGAAAUGAAUGUACUCAUGUACAGUGUGGAUCGGUUAUAGCGUGGUCGUGUAAAAGAAUAUACUGCCUGCAAGAAUGAACUCUCAUGUUUUCAUAAUCAUAACAUGGGUUUCAAGUGCACAUUAAUUUAUUCUUACAAGCAAUUUUAUCGCACACUAGAAUACUAGUAUAAUUAUCGGUCCUAAGAAUGGUUUUUGUGUAGUGAAACACGCUAGAUUAGUACUUGUACAAAGUAUAUCGCCUGUAGUAAUAAUACAGUAGAGUCGCGCGCUGAAGAACGUGGAGCCCAAGAACGUCCAGCCUGAAAUACUAAGAACGCCACAGCCUAAAGCUAAGAACGUCGGUGUUGGUUUUCUGGCGGCUUGUGGGACACAUAUGAUUCAGUAUGGAUUGAUUCUAAGAACGUGUUAUAAGAACGCAGCCAGAUUACUGAAAAAUAAGAACGUCCCAGGCUAACCCCUCGGAAACAACGUUCUUGGGCGCGCGACUACUGUAUCCGUCCAAUGCAAUUCUGAUCCGACUCGCGUUGGGUCGUAGUGCAUGCUGCAGGUUCAACUGUUGUGGUCAUGUAACUCAUGACGUUGCAUAGCCACAUGGUAAGCCUAUGUGACUACAUGUAUGACCAGCCGCAUGCACAGUAACAUUACAUAGUCAUUGCAUGUACGAUGAUCUUACUGCCUCUGCGCACAUGCACAUGACAUGUCACACUUGAUUUAUCGUGUGUAAGAAACAUCGGAAACAAGAAUAGAAAGUCGUUUUUCAAACACCCACGCUAUAACCGAUACCUACUGUACAUUGUAUAGUAUGCAUGUAUGAAUUCAUAAUAGCCAUGAACAGUGCCAUGUGUUUAUUAGUAACUCGACUGUACACAAAUACAAUACAAUGCAGUGCAGUCAUGUAGUACAAUGUUUUUUUUUGGGAUGGCUUUUUAUUUUUCACCCUCCCUCAUUGAAUGUACAAUGUAUGAAGUACGAAUGUAUCAAGAAUGUAUCAAGUACGAGAAAGGUGAC